rnacentral:rRNA from 1 species
GAAUUANACGACNAGCNCGNUUAAUGUCAUCUAACAUUGGUGCCGUUGGUNUUCAUGGAUCUCAGCANCUGAGACGCUCGCUUGACAGCCUAACACAUGCAAGUCGAGCGGAUGACGGGAGCUUGCUCCUUGAUUCAGCGGCGGACGGGUGAGUAAUGCCUAGGAAUCUGCCUGGUAGUGGGGGACAACGUUUCGAAAGGAACGCUAAUACCGCAUACGUCCUACGGGAGAAAGCAGGGGACCUUCGGGCCUUGCGCUAUCAGAUGAGCCUAGGUCGGAUUAGCUAGUUGGUGAGGUAAUGGCUCACCAAGGCGACGAUCCGUAACUGGUCUGAGAGGAUGAUCAGUCACACUGGAACUGAGACACGGUCCAGACUCCUACGGGAGGCAGCAGUGGGGAAUAUUGGACAAUGGGCGAAAGCCUGAUCCAGCCAUGCCGCGUGUGUGAAGAAGGUCUUCGGAUUGUAAAGCACUUUAAGUUGGGAGGAAGGGCAGUAAGUUAAUACCUUGCUGUUUUGACGUUACCGA